GCUUAAUUGGUAAAAGGCUUGUUUUGUAAACAUGGGGGUCUGAGUUCAAUUCCCAG
rnacentral:tRNA from 1 species